GUACAUCUUGUAUGUUGCUGGGAUGUCUUGCAUAGUAAGGAGAUGGAUAUAGGUGGACCAGUCCUGAAGAAUGUGGAGAUGGGUAGUUCUGUCACAACCACUCUGCAUCCAUUGAUAUGCCGCUGAGCUGCACAGGGCCUGGGCCAACCACUUCAGGCUAGAAAAGUUGGCACAGAGCCAAGAGACGACGACUGAAUUUUCCGGCGAAAGAGUCUUUCAGGAGAGCGAGAGAGAACUGUGCUUACAGCAGGAAAUAACAGUUUCCUCGAUAAUGGACCAGCGGAAUUGGAGCAGAUGUAGCACCCCUGGCAAGACCUGACGACUCAGCACCAGGGCAUAAUGGCUAACGAGACUAAAAUGGACGAUUCACCCAAGGAACUCACUACUACAAG